rnacentral:tRNA from 1 species
GGGGUUGUGGCUUAGUGGUAGAGCACUUGCUUAGCAAGUGUGAGGCCCUGGGUUUGAGUCUCAGCACCA